GUUCUUUAGGUUUUUUUGGCUUUGGGGGGAUUUUGGGUGAGAUUGGGGAAAGGAAGUGAGAAGAAGGGAAAGUGAGAAGAUGAGGGAAAAUGAGGGAUUCUCUCUUCCGGCGAUGGCUAUGCUCCUUUCAUUCCCACGAUGAGCCAACGACGAGUCUUCCUUCAUGUCCUCUUUCUUCUAGCAGCGGCAAUGACUCCACAGUGGCAAAGGAAGCGGCGGCGAUUCGGUAGAGUCUUCGUUCACCUUGGUUCGAGGUAACCUUCUUUGAAGAAAUGGGGGAUGCAAAGAAGCCGCUCAUGAAACCCCAAUGAUGGCACGGUUUGGGACCGUUAAUGGUCGAAGACCACAGUUCUAGAACCGAUGGAGGCAAUAAACCUUGGGAUUGAGUGUGGAGGUUUAUAAUUUGGGAGGAUCUUCCCAUUGAAGAAGUUAUAGGGGGAUUUGGUUUCCUUUUAAGUGAAUGUAUCAUGCUCUUUUUGGUAUCAAAUAUUGUUUAUUUAAAACAUUAUUUUAGACAUUAUAAAUAGACAAUUUUGAAUUUCCUUAUAAUAUUUUGGGGCGGACAAAAUUGAGUACUUAC